AGUGAACGCUGGCGGUAGGCCUAACACAUGCAAGUCGAACGGCAGCACAGUAAGAGCUUGCUCUUACGGGUGGCGAGUGGCGGACGGGUGAGGAAUACAUCGGAAUCUACUUUUUCGUGGGGGAUAACGUAGGGAGACUUACGCUAAUACCGCAUACGACCUACGGGUGAAAGCAGGGGAUCUUCGGACCUUGCGCGAUUGAAUGAGCCGAUGUCGGAUUAGCUAGUUGGCGGGGUAAAGGCCCACCAAGGCGACGAUCCGUAGCUGGUCUGAGAGGAUGAUCAGCCACACUGGAACUGAGACACGGUCCAGACUCCUACGGGAGGCAGCAGUGGGGAAUAUUGGACAAUGGGCGCAGGCCUGAUCCAGCCAUACCGCGUGGGUGAAGAAGGCCUUCGGGUUGUAAAGCCCUUUUGUUGGGAAAGAAAAGCAGCAGGUUAAUACCCCGCUGUUCUGACGGUACCCAAAGAAUAAGCACCGGCUAACUUCGUG
rnacentral:rRNA from 1 species